GGAGAGGUGGCCGAGUGGUCGAAGGCGCUCCCCUGCUAAGGGAGUAAGCGGUUAACCCCGCUUCGAGGGUUCGAAUCCCUCCCUCUCCGCCA
rnacentral:tRNA from 1 species